CUGGAGGUAUCAGAAGUGCGAAUGCUGACAUAAGUAACGAUAAAGCGGGUGAAAAGCCCGCUCGCCGGAAGACCAAGGGUUCCUGUCCAACGUUAAUCGGGGCAGGGUGAGUCGACCCCUAAGGCGAGGCCGAAAGGCGUAGUCGAUGGGAAACGGGUUAAUAUUCCCGUACUUGGUGUUACUGCGAAGGGGGGACGGAGAAGGCUAUGUUGGCCGGGCGACGGUUGUCCCGGUUUAAGCGUGUAGGUGUGUGUUCCAGGUAAAUCCGGUUCACUUUAACACUGAGGCGUGACGACGAGGCACUACGGUGCUGAAGCAACAAAUGCCCUGCUUCCAGGAAAAGCCUCUAAGCAUCAGGUAACAUCAAAUCGUACCCCAAACCGACACAGGUGGUCAGGUAGAGAAUACCAAGGCGCUUGAGAGAACUCGGGUGAAGGAACUAGGCAAAAUGGUGCCGUAACUUCGGGAGAAGGCACGCUGACAUGUAGGUGAAGUGAUUUACUCAUGGAGCUGAAGUCAGUCGAAGAUACCAGCUGGCUGCAACUGUUUAUUAAAAACACAGCACUGUGCAAACACGAAAGUGGACGUAUACGGUGUGACGCCUGCCCGGUGCCGGAAGGUUAAUUGAUGGGGUCAGCGCAAGCGAAGCUCCUGAUCGAAGCCCCGGUAAACGGCGGCCGUAACUAUAACGGUCCUAAGGUAGCGAAAUUCCUUGUCGGGUAAGUUCCGACCUGCACGAAUGGCGUAAUGAUGGCCAGGCUGUCUCCACCCGAGACUCAGUGAAAUUGAACUCGCUGUGAAGAUGCAGUGUACCCGCGGCAAGACGGAAAGACCCCGUGAACCUUUACUAUAGCUUGACACUGAACAUUGAGCCUUGAUGUGUAGGAUAGGUGGGAGGCUUUGAAGUGUGGACGCCAGUCUGCAUGGAGCCGACCUUGAAAUACCACCCUUUAAUGUUUGAUGUUCUAACGUGGACCCGUGAUCCGGGUUGCGGACAGUGUCUGGUGGGUAGUUUGACUGGGGCGGUCUCCUCCUAAAGAGUAACGGAGGAGCACGAAGGUUGGCUAAUCCUGGUCGGACAUCAGGAGGUUAGUGCAAUGGCAUAAGCCAGCUUGACUGCGAGCGUGACGGCGCGAGCAGGUGCGAAAGCAGGUCAUAGUGAUCCGGUGGUUCUGAAUGGAAGGGCCAUCGCUCAACGGAUAAAAGGUACUCCGGGGAUAACAGGCUGAUACCGCCCAAGAGUUCAUAUCGACGGCGGUGUUUGGCACCUCGAUGUCGGCUCAUCACAUCCUGGGGCUGAAGUAGGUCCCAAGGGUAUGGCUGUUCGCCAUUUAAAGUGGUACGCGAGCUGGGUUUAGAACGUCGUGAGACAGUUCGGUCCCUAUCUGCCGUGGGCGCUGGAGAACUGAGGGGGGCUGCUCCUAGUACGAGAGGACCGGAGUGGACGCAUCACUGGUGUUCGGGUUGUCAUGCCAAUGGCACUGCCCGGUAGCUAAAUGCGGAAGAGAUAAGUGCUGAAAGCAUCUAAGCACGAAACUUGCCCCGA
rnacentral:rRNA from 3 species